rnacentral:rRNA from 1 species
UACGUAGGUGGCGAGCGUUGUCCGGAUUUACUGGGCGUAAAGAGCGCGCAGGCGGUCGUAUAAGUCGCGUGUGAAAGCCCCCGGCUCAACUGGGGAGGGUCACGCGAUACUGUUCGACUUGAAGGCAGGAGAGGGAAGCGGAAUUCCCGGUGUAGUGGUGAAAUGCGUAGAUAUCCGGAGGAACACCAGUGGCGAAAGCGGCCACCUGGACUGCACCUGACGCUGACACGCGAAAGCUAGGGGAGCGAACGGG